rnacentral:rRNA from 1 species
GGCGGCCGUAACUAUAACGGUCCUAAGGUAGCGAAAUUCCUUGUCGGGUAAGUUCCGACCUGCACGAAUGGCGUAAUGAUGGCCAGGCUGUCUCCACCCGAGACUCAGUGAAAUUGAACUCGCUGUGAAGAUGCAGUGUACCCGCGGCAAGACGGAAAGACCCCGUGAACCUUUACUAUAGCUUGACACUGAACAUUGAGCCUUGAUGUGUAGGAUAGGUGGGAGGCUUUGAAGUGUGGACGCCAGUCUGCAUGGAGCCGACCUUGAAAUACCACCCUUUAAUGUUUGAUGUUCUAACGUUGACCCGUAAUCCGGGUUGCGGACAGUGUCUGGUGGGUAGUUUGACUGGGGCGGUCUCCUCCUAAAGAGUAACGGAGGAGCACGAAGGUUGGCUAAUCCUGGUCGGACAUCAGGAGGUUAGUGCAAUGGCAUAAGCCAGCUUGACUGCGAGCGUGACGGCGCGAGCAGGUGCGAAAGCAGGUCAUAGUGAUCCGGUGGUUCUGAAUGGAAGGGCCAUCGCUCAACGGAUAAAAGGUACUCCGGGGAUAACAGGCUGAUACCGCCCAAGAGUUCAUAUCGACGGCGGUGUUUGGCACCUCGAUGUCGGCUCAUCACAUCCUGGGGCUGAAGUAGGUCCCAAGGGUAUGGCUGUUCGCCAUUUAAAGUGGUACGCGAGCUGGGUUUAGAACGUCGUGAGACAGUUCGGUCCCUAUCUGCCGUGGGCGCUGGAGAACUGAGGGGGGCUGCUCCUAGUACGAGAGGACCGGAGUGGACGCAUCACUGGUGUUCGGGUUGUCAUGCCAAUGGCACUGCCCGGUAGCUAAAUGCGGAAGAGAUAAGUGCUGAAAGCAUCUAAGCACGAAACUUGCCCCGAGAUGAGUUCUCCCUGACUCCUUGAGAGUCCUGAAGGAACGUUGAAGACGACGACGUUGAUAGGCCGGGUGUGUAAGCGCAGCGAUGCGUUGAGCUAACCGGUACUAAUGAACCGUGAGG